UGCAAGUCGACGAAGCCUUCGGGCUUAGUGGCGGACGGGUGAGUAACGCGUGGGAACGUGCCCCUUGGUACGGAAUAGUCCCGGGAAACUGGGUUUAAUACCGUAUAUUCUCUCUGGAGGAAAGAUUUAUCGCCAAGGGAUCGGCCCGCGUUGGAUUAGGUAGUUGGUGGGGUAAUGGCCUACCAAGCCCGCGAUCCAUAGCUGGUUUGAGAGGAUGAUCAGCCACACUGGGACUGAGACACGGCCCAGACUCCUACGGGAGGCAGCAGUGGGGAAUCUUAGACAAUGGGGGAAACCCUGAUCUAGCCAUGCCGCGUGAGCGAUGAAGGCCUUAGGGUUGUAAAGCUCUUUCGCUGGGGAAGAUAAUGACGGUACCCAGUAAAGAAGCCCCGGCUAACUCCGUGCCAGCAGCCGCGGUAAUACGGAGGGGGCUAGCGUUGUUCGGAAUUACUGGGCGUAAAGCGCGCGUAGGCGGAUUGGAAAGUUGGGGGUGAAAUCCCGGGGCUCAACCCCGGAACUGCCUCCAAAACUAUCAGUCUGGAGUUCGAGAGAGGUGAGUGGAAUUGCGAGUGUAGAGGUGAAAUUCGUAGAUAUUCGCAGGAACACCAGUGGCGAAGGCGGCUCACUGGCUCGAUACUGACGCUGAGGUGCGAAAGUGUGGGGAGCAAACAGGAUUAGAUACCCUGGUAGUCCA
rnacentral:rRNA from 1 species